rnacentral:rRNA from 1 species
UGCGGAAGGAUCAUUACCGAGUGAGGGCCCUCUGGGUCCAACCUCCCACCCGUGUUUAUUUUACCUUGUUGCUUCGGCGGGCCCGCCUUAACUGGCCGCCGGGGGGCUCACGCCCCCGGGCCCGCGCCCGCCGAAGACACCCUCGAACUCUGUCUGAAGAUUGAAGUCUGAGUGAAAAUAUAAAUUAUUUAAAACUUUCAACAACGGAUCUCUUGGUUCCGGCAUCGAUGAAGAACGCAGCGAAAUGCGAUACGUAAUGUGAAUUGCAAAUUCAGUGAAUCAUCGAGUCUUUGAACGCACAUUGCGCCCCCUGGUAUUCCGGGGGGCAUGCCUGUCCGAGCGUCAUUGCUGCCCUCAAGCCCGGCUUGUGUGUUGGGCCCCGUCCUCCGAUCUCCGGGGGACGGGCCCGAAAGGCAGCGGCGGCACCGCGUCCGGUCCUCGAGCGUAUGGGGCUUUGUCACCCGCUCUGUAGGCCCGGCCGGCGCUUGCCGAUCAACCCAAAUUUUUAUCCAGGUUGACCUCGGAUCAGGUAGGGAUACCCGCUGAACUUAA